AAUUAAGGUGUGACCAAGAUAAGAAAGUGGAGCUCGACGUAGAUUUUGAGACAAUGGAGGAGGGGAAGGAAGAGGAAGCAGGAUAGAGAAGAAGCGAAAGAAAACAGGGAAGAGGAGGAAGACGAACUAGGAACUUAUAUAGCAACGAAUGAGAGAAAAGAGAGAGAGAGAGAGAGAAAGAAAUAAUGAUAUGUAGUCAGUUUUAUGAAAAUUCGGAUCGAAUCUGUAAAAACUAAAAUAGUAGUCUAUUUUU
rnacentral:lncRNA from 1 species